rnacentral:rRNA from 1 species
GAAUAUUGGACAAUGGGCGAAAGCCUGAUCCAGCAAUGCCGCGUGAGUGAUGAAGGCCCUAGGGUUGUAAAGCUCUUUUACCCGGGAAGAUAAUGACUGUACCGGGAGAAUAAGCCCCGGCUAACUCCGUGUCAGCAGCCGCGGUAAUACGGAGGGGGCUAGCGUUGUUCGGAAUUACUGGGCGUAAAGCGCACGUAGGCGGCUUUGUAAGUUAGAGGUGAAAGCCCGGGGCUCAACCCCGGAAUUGCCUUUAAGACUGCAUCGCUUGAACGUCGGAGAGGUGAGUGGAAUUCCGAGUGUAGAGGUGAAAUUCGUAGAUAUUCGGAAGAACACCAGUGGCGAAGGCGGCUCACUGGACGACUGUUGACGCUGAGGUGCGAAAGCGUGGGGAGCAAACAG